CGCAACAGCUCCCCCGAAGUCUACGGGAUCUCCCCGCCGGAUUUCGACACCUCCGUUCCCGGGCGCGCAAGAUUUUCGUUUGAUAAUUUUCUUUUAAUGUUUUCCUUUCUGUAUUUAUCAACUCAUGGAAAUGUAUAAGUAAAGGCAUAUGGUAGAUUUCCCGAUGAAAUGCAGACACUAUCCAUUAUUAAAAUCAUAUAAACCAUUCAGCGCUAGUUUCUCGCACCUUCUUAAUCAUCUCCAAACAAAGUGUAGUGAAGGAAGAGAAAAAGAGCAUCCUUUAGGGCUGAAAACCCCCCACGGCGCCGCACACGCAUGCUGUUGCCUGAGGAAAUAUGCUGCCACGAAAUGACACCAUGUUCAGCCUGAAGAGCCACGUGGAGCGAGCCAGAACAGAUUCACUCUCCAUGUUAGACCUAACAUAGACCGAGUCAUAGUUCCAUACUUAUUCUCAUAAACAGUAGUUGUCAGGAAACAAGGAAUAAAGAGAAGCAAAAGAACAAAAAUAAGGGAAAGAAAAAUAAUAAUGAUAGCAAUACCUCCAAGGUGCUAAAAGAAGCCUUCAAAUAGCGAAUGAAUCACGGUUGAUCUUUCGCCCACAAACAAACACAACCAAACGCUACUACAACGACGACCUCCCGAGCAGAUUUCCAUGCUAGAAGAUCACCUGUUGUAGGCUGCACGCGAAGACUUCAACUGCACUAUCAAGAAUACAUUUAAUUGGCAUGGUGUGGCGGCGCUCGCUGGAGUUAAGAUGACGCCUGGCCUCCUGACGAUGCUCAUUUGUCUGGCCGCCGCAGUGUCUCCCAGCGGCGCAGACGAGGCCGAGUACCGUCUCACUCGAUACCUCAUGAGCAACUACGACAAAUCAGUGAGACCGUCUUUCAAGGCAGCGGACGCCCUCAACAUCAC